rnacentral:piRNA from 1 species
UAUCAAUGGAAGGUCUUACCACAG